CAGUAGCCACGGGAAUACGAAGGGGGCUAGCGUUGUUCGGAAUUACUGGGCGUAAAGCGCACGUAGGCGGAUAUUUAAGUCAGGGGUGAAAUCCCAGAGCUCAACUCUGGAACUGCCUUUGAUACUGGGUAUCUUGAGUAUGGAAGAGGUGAGUGGAAUUCCGAGUGUAGUGGUGAAAUUCGUAGAUAUUCGGAGGAACACCAGUGGCGAAGGCGGCUCAUUGGUCCAUUACUGACGCUGAGGUGCGAAAGCGUGGGGAGCAAACAGGAUUAGAUACCCCAGUAGUCCCUGUCUCUUAUAC
rnacentral:rRNA from 1 species